rnacentral:rRNA from 1 species
ACUUGUUGUAUCUUACCUCCUUGUCAAAGUUGGAUCUUAUCUGAUCUCCGAAGAUUAGCUGGGCAAGGCUUGGUUAGUACUUGGGUGGGAGACCACAUGGAAUAUCUGGUGCGCCAGUG